UAGGGAAUCUUCGGCAAUGGACGAAAGUCUGACCGAGCAACGCCGCGUGAGUGAAGAAGGUUUUCGGAUCGUAAAACUCUGUUGUUAGAGAAGAACAAGGACGUUAGUAACUGAACGUCCCCUGACGGUAUCUAACCAGAAAGCCACGGCUAACUACGUGCCAGCAGCCGCGGUAAUACGUAGGUGGCAAGCGUUGUCCGGAUUUAUUGGGCGUAAAGCGAGCGCAGGCGGUUUCUUAAGUCUGAUGUGAAAGCCCCCGGCUCAACCGGGGAGGGUCAUUGGAAACUGGGAGACUUGAGUGCAGAAGAGGAGAGUGGAAUUCCAUGUGUAGCGGUGAAAGGCGUAGAUAUAGGGAGGAACACCAGUGGCGAAGGCGGCUCUCUGGUCUGUAACUGACGCUGAGGCUCGAAAGCGUGGGGAGCAAACAGG
rnacentral:rRNA from 1 species